rnacentral:rRNA from 1 species
GUGGAUUAGAUACCCGGGUAGUCCACGCCCUAAACGAUGUCUACUAGUUGUUGGUGGAGUAAAAUCCAUGAGUAACGCAGCUAACGCGUGAAGUAGACCGCCUGGGGAGUACGGUCGCAAGAUUAAAACUCAAAUGAAUUGACGGGGGCCCGCACAAGCGGUGGAUUAUGUGGAUUAAUUCGAUGCAACGCGAAAAACCUUACCUGGCCUUGACAUGUAACGAACUUUCCAGAGAUGGAUUGGUUCUCGAAAGAGAGCGUUAACACAGGUGCUGCACGGCCGUCGACAACU